GGAGUGGUGGGGACUGUGGCAUCUGCCCUGUGAAAUGGGGCCAGUCACUGCUCAGUUCCACUCUCUCUGGCCAAGCAGGGAUAAGUGCCUAGAGUGCCAGCUUUCUAUUUUUUCGAGAGAAGUUGGACAUCUGUAUUUUUACAUGAAUACUCUUGAUCUUUAAAUGUCAUCAACUAAUUUAAAAAAAUUUUUAAGCUCUUCAAUGGAACAAAUACACUACAGCUGUGCUAGGUUUUUUUGAUCAGCAGGCUGGCAGUUUUGGGCUUUGGAGGAAGAUCAAGGUUGUGUCCACCUCAGAGGCACACAGGGCCAGGGGAACGAAGCAAGGAGCGCCUCACGUGGCUGACAGGAUGGUGGGUAUCAGACAGAAGCUGCUGCUGGCCAGCCACAGCCCUGCGCCUGCAGCCCUACGGCCCCCUAAUCUUCCAGCCCUGCCUGUAACUUCCCCCACGGUCCUGUCCUCAGCUGGUGGGAGCCACGAGGUGGCCACAUCUCUAGGGUGAAAUCACCCUCCGGUGCUCCCAUGGGGCGGAUCCAGGGUGAUUUCAGCUGGGUUCUGCAGUCAGCGGAGGGAAGGGCGAAACUGGUGUUUGAGCUCAAGGGUAGAAAGAGACAAAAAAGGCUGACUGCGCUGGACGCCACUUCCCCGUGAAAGAGAACGAGCCUGGCGCUGACCAUAGGCCAGCCUGGCCAGAAGGGACAGGCCUGGCUCCUCCAUCGACUGUGUUCAUCCAGGUGAAGUUCAACCAGGACCAAGAGCCUGUCCUGCAUGUGGUCCUAAAGAUGCAAACCCUCGCGUUCUGAUGGGGGACCGCAGCUUGACCUGGAGGCCUCGGACCUGAUGGAGAAGCCCGGGAACAGAACUGGACGUGGCUGUGACAGAGGCCGGAGUUGGCUGCUGGGAAGGAGUGUGGCACACACGGGAAGCCUGCUGUGAUAGGAGCUGCAGAGGACGCUGGGGAGGGCGUCCAGGCCGAGCGUGCAUGGCAAGCAGCAGACCACACCGUCCUGUGAGCCAAGGGAGGGCAGGACAGAGCCAGCCAGGGAGCAGCCACAGCCCCGCCGGCUACCUGACCCGUGGAGCCCUGCUGAACCCUUCCCUGCGGGCAAAGGUGCCCGAGGGUUCUCUGGGGCUUCCUGGGCCUGGGGUGGGUUGUAAACCAGACCUUGAUGUAUAUUAGGGGCCCCAAAAGUGAGAGGAAGGGAGUUUGGAGAGCUGCUGAGUCUGAGGAAGGGAGGAGGAAGGACUUGUCUCCUCUGAAUAUGUGGUCUUUAAAUGUCAUCUUUGGUGAAAAUACAGCAACCUUUUAAU